CUGUAAGUGACUUACUGUCGCCACCUGUGGCAAAAGUUGGUAUGGCAACCAUUCCAAUCAUGCUGCUCAAGUUUUUUACUUUGUAGUCUUCCUAUGACUCAUAUCCAGCAUUGCCCCGCCCUGACUGAUAAUGACGUCACCUUUUAAUGGUUUCCAUUGAUAUGCCAAUUAAAAUGAGCGUACUGGGUGUGCUUUUGAACACUCCCUUUAACAACAACAACAAAAAAAAUCUUCAUUUGUGGUCCCACCCUUCUCUUACUCCCACCUAUGUCCCCACCCAGAAACAUUUUCCCCUCUCUACGGCACACACCACUUUUUUCCACUCUCUUGACAUUCUCCCACGCAUUUGCACACAGAUGUUGUGCAGCUGCUUAAUGGAAUGGAGGACGUGGAGAUAAUAUGGUCGCCGCCCACGACUCAAGUGUGUAUUAUUCUUUACCUGACAGCCAUAAAGGAAAUGAUUGCGGGUGUGGUAGGACAUCUUUUAUUGACGUUAACGGGUUGCUUGACUUGGUCAGCCAUGUUUGUUGUCUCAGGUGAAGGGGGAACAAGGGCUCUCUGUUGCCCCUUGAGGCGAAGAGUAGUAUUACACUCAGUUUUUUUUUAAUCUAAAAUGGUAAAGGUUUUAGUUUGUUUCUAUUUUAUUUUAUUUUUUGAGUUUACUGUUAGAUAGUUGGGGGUGCACCAACCCACUCCCCCAAAAAAUGAUUUCCCGCAGUAUAUUUUGUGGAAUUUACUCUGCCUGACUGUAGGAACUGAAAAAAUGUCUAUUGUCUUUGACAUAACUCGUUAGCUUAGCAGGUUUUUAAUUUAUUAUUAUUAUUUUUAUAUUGUUAUGCUGCUGCACCUUCCAUGGAGUCUUCUGGCAGCGCCCCAAUCAAUGAUGAACUCGGGACGGGCAGCUGUCGCCCACAGAGGCCUCUUGACGCGGGGGCUGCCGCUGACACCUGCUCCCACCCGCCGGUGAGCAUUAAAACGCUGCAAACGCUCCAUUCUGCUUGGGGUUUUUAUUCACAUACUGUACCUUCAGGUCUGGACAGAUGACUAUGGAGUAUAUCAAAAGAAAACAAAAACAAACAUUAACCUUAAGAUAUGCAAAUAUUCCAAAAAUGUGCAUCGUGUGUCACAAUGAAAGCACAGCAGGCUAACGCUAUUUACAGUGGAUUAAAAAUGCCAUUCCUCUAAUCGAUCAUUUAUACAUAACAUGUACAGUAUAACUGUUAAGGGGCGAGGGUGUGUGAAAGCGCUCUAUCAUAAAUAACACACUUACAAAAAUAUACCUCACUUCAAGCAGAGCCUUGUUUUUUUUUUUUUUUUAAACAACAA